ACUUAUAUUCUGUAGCAAGGUUAACCGUAUAGGGGAGCCGGAGGGAAACCGAGUCUUAACCGGGCGUUAAGUUGCAGGGUAUAGACCCGAAACCCGGUGAUCUAGCCAUGGGCAGGUUGAAGGUUGGGUAACACUAACUGGAGGACCGAACCGACUAAUGUUGAAAAAUUAGCGGAUGACCUGUGGCUGGGGGUGAAAGGCCAAUCAAACCGGGAGAUAGCUGGUUCUCCCCGAAAGCUAUUUAGGUAGCGCCUCGUGAAUUCAUCUCCGGGGGUAGAGCACUGUUUCGGCUAGGGGGCCAUCCCGGCUUACCAACCCGAUGCAAACUGCGAAUACCGGAGAAUGUUAUCACGGGAGACACACGGCGGGUGCUAACGUCCGUCGUGAAGAGGGAAACAACCCAGACCGCCAGCUAAGGUCCCAAAGUCAUGGUUAAGUGGGAAACGAUGUGGGAAGGCCCAGACAGCCAGGAUGUUGGCUUAGAAGCAGCCAUCAUUUAAAGAAAGCGUAAUAGCUCACUGGUCGAGUCGGCCUGCGCGGAAGAUGUAACGGGGCUAAACCAUG
rnacentral:rRNA from 1 species